UACGGGGGGGGCAAGCGUUGUUCGGAAUUGCUGGGCGUAAAGCGUGCGUAGACGGCUAUCUAAGUCGGGUGUGAAAGCCCCGGGCUCAACCUGGGAAUUGCAUUCGAGACUGAAUAGCUAGGGUACGGUAGAGGGAAGCGGAAUUUCCGGUGUAGCGGUGAAAUGCGUAGAUAUGACAUAGAACACCAAUUGCGAAGGCAGCUCACUACACAAAUAUUGACACUGAGGCACGAAAGCGUGGGGAUCAAACAGG
rnacentral:rRNA from 1 species